AAGAAGACCUUCUGUGAGCAGCUAAGACUCAAGCUGAAGCGUAAUUGAUUGAUCCUGCUUAAUAUCCACCCGAAAGGUUGAAAACGAUAAAAAUUAAAGUACUGGAAGUUUAUCAAAAACAGACAUUAAAAGCUUCUUUGUAAUCAAGAAGCCGAAUAAUGACGAUGAGAUGAUAGAUUUAUAAAAGACACAUCACUCUUGGCCAUGGAAACCACGGUUGCAGGGAAAAUCGAAGAGGAAACUGUUCACGACCUGAAGAAACAAUUCCAGACAUCAAGAAUGCUCUGUAAUAGCU